UGGGGAAUCUUGCGCAAUGGCCGAAAGGCUGACGCAGCGACGCCGCGUGUGGGAGGAAGCUCUUCGGGGUGUAAACCACUGUUGCCCGGGACGAACAGCCCUUUUCGAGGGGCCUGACGGUACCGGGUGAGGAAGCACCGGCUAACUCUGUGCCAGCAGCCGCGGUAAUACAGAGGGUGCGAGCGUUGUCCGGAAUCACUGGGCGUAAAGGGCGCGUAGGUGGUGGCUUAAGCGUGCGGUGAAAGCUCGGGGCUCAACCCCGAGUCGGCCGUGCGAACUGGGCUCACUGGAGCAUAGUAGAGGCAGGUGGAAUUCCGGGUGUAGCGGUGGAAUGCGUAGAGAUCCGGAAGAACACCGGUGGCGAAGGCGGCCUGCUGGGCUAUGGCUGACACUGAGGCGCGACAGCGUGGGGAGCAAACA
rnacentral:rRNA from 1 species